rnacentral:lncRNA from 1 species
AUCGUGUCUCUUGACUUCUCUCCUACUCCACCUCUCUUCAUCUUCUUCUUCUUGCUCGGCUCCACCUCAACCACCACCACUAGCUUCCUCUGCCAUCUGCACACCAAAGCUUUGUCUGAUCCGGUGUUGGUCUUUUUCAUUUUCUCUCCUCUUCUAUUUCAUCCUCUGUCCUCUUCUUCAGAGACGCGGUGGAGUUAGAGUCUUGAGAGGCGGAUUUGGAGAGCUUCACCUCGACCCAAUCAAAAACGUCCGGUCUCUGGGCUUCGUCAUCAGGCAGAGGAGCAUCACAAUAUGUUGGCAUUGAAGACGGUGGUGCUUGAGCUUCGUUGCCGUUUUCAUCUCUGAGAAAGCUCUCCCAACCUGUCCCAACAGUCUCGUUACUUUUUUAAAAUCUGGAUAAUUGAAAAAAAAUGGAAACAAAAGAGACGAGAGAGAGGUUUGAGAUUAAAUUUUGAUAAAGAGUAAAUGAGAUAUAUCUUGAGUGACAAACGCAGCAGCAGAGUCUGGAAUUGAAGGCGCCAGAGGAGGUGUUGAAGGCACCAGAGGCCGAGUCGAAGGCGGAUUGCUAAAUCAAGCUCAAUAUCCAAACUUCAAGAAAUAAUAGUUGAGAAGAAUAGAAGAUUAAAACUCGAAGGGGAAGGGGAAGGGGAAGGUAAAGAGGUAUGAGAGAGAGAGAGAGAGAAUGAAACAAAGAAGAGAAGCACAAAUGAGCUGUGAUCGUUAGAUAAACUAAUCUAAGGGUUUGUAUUGCAAUCAACGUGAAUCAUGAAUUGACCAAUAGAAAAGCCUUCUUUAUUUUUUACCUUUUCUUCGACAACUUUUUGUUUUUUUCAGUACAGAUUAUUGUUUUUUUUUAAGGUUCGU